AGCGAACGCUGGCGGCAGGCCUAACACAUGCAAGUCGAACGAACCUUUCGGGGUUAGUGGCGGACGGGUGAGUAACACGUGGGAACGUGCCUUUAAGUUCGGAAUAACUCAGGGAAACUUGUGCUAAUACCGAAUGUGCCCUUCGGGGGAAAGAUUUAUCGCCUUUAGAGCGGCCCGCGUCUGAUUAGCUAGUUGGUUGAGGUAAUGGCUCACCAAGGCGACGAUCAGUAGCUGGUCUGAGAGGAUGAUCAGCCACAUUGGGACUGAGACACGGCCCAAACUCCUACGGGAGGCAGCAGUGGGGAAUCUUGCGCAAUGGGCGAAAGCCUGACGCAGCCAUGCCGCGUGAAUGAUGAAGGUCUUAGGAUUGUAAAAUUCUUUCGCCGGGGACGAUAAUGACGGUACCCGGAGAAGAAGCCCCGGCUAACUUCGUG
rnacentral:rRNA from 1 species